rnacentral:tRNA from 1 species
GCCUGUCUAGCUUAGUUGGUAUAGCGCUAGGCUCUUAAUUUUGUGGUCGGUUCGAGCCCCACGGACC